GACAGAAGAGCACACAAUCUCUCUCUCCCUGCCGUAUGAGGAUACAAGAAGACAGCCGUCUGUAAACCAGGACACGGGCCCUUAUCAGACACCAGAUCUUCCAGCACUCUAGUGUUGGACUUAGCCUCCAGAAAAGAGCCCUUGAAAUCCUGCUCAUCUGCAAUCUCUAGGGCUGGACCCCACGUCACAGAAGUGGAUACUCCAUCUCCAUCGAGAACCCAAUGACUGAUGUGCACACAGAGAGAAUGCCAUAUGAAGAUGAAGGCAGAGAUUAAGGUGAUACUUCUAUAAGCCAAGGAAUACUGGAGACUUCCAGGAAUACCAGAAGCCAGGGAAGAACAAAAUAGCUCCCUCCCCACAGCCCUCAGAAGAAACCUACCCUCCUGAAAACCUUGAUCUCAGACUUCCAGCCUCUAGAACGGUAUCCAAGCCGUGUCGCUUUUGAAAAUGAUCAGCUUAGCUGGGUCAAGAACACAGAGAAAAGCUGUUUUCCUAGAAAAACUCAGCAUCCCUCUGAAACGUUCUGCAAAAUCCCCUAACCCAGGGAACAAGGCAGCAGGUGCACCAGGCCCUUAUAUUAGAAAUUCUCCAAGGAGACUUCGAGGAGCCAAGACAGAGUUAAGUCCUUGUCUCCAAAGAAUCUACUGAGCAUCUUCUACCUACUGGCUUUAUCUGUUUAGCAAACUCACCCCACAUCUUACCUCCUCUUUGUGCCUGACAUCUAGGAGGAUCUUUGAAAUUUAUUUUCUCCUUUUAGGCUGCUGUAUUUUUAAUGUCUGAGUGAAAGAACAAAGGAAGGCGAACACCAGACAAGAUCGUUUCAUUCCUCCAUGAGCCGUUUGGAGCCCAGCUCAAGCUCAGCUACCAUAAAUGUUUUAAAAUUCUGUCUUUGCAAGGGAAGAAGUGCUGGUGUAGUCAUCAAUACCAAAGUCAGGACCCUGUUUCUGCCUUUCCUUUGGUGGCAUAAAACCCCUCGGCCCCCACAUCAGUUAUUAACACCCUAUUAACAUAAGCAGGCCAGAAAAGUUUUUUUCAGUCUGGUCAACCAUAAUGGAAGAAAUUCCUGCUGCCCAGUUGGCCGUCCCAUGAUCAGCUCAUGCAGGCUGUUUUCAGCUUAGAAAAAGGCCUGCUGAUUUCUCUUUCAUCUCUCUCUGAGUAACAGAUACCUGGUCGGCCUGCUUUCCUCCUCCCUCACUGCAAAAUUAUCCACCUGCCUCCUCAACUUCUGGUAUUAAGAGCUGCUUGCACAAACACUGACAAUAUUGAUUGUGUCCAAGUGGCGUGCGGGGCUGUAAGAUGUCGGCUCGGCAUGGGGGCCAGAACUCAGGGUUGUUUCAUCCACCCACGUCAGAGCAAGGAGGGUCUUAAGGGGUCUUGAGGAAGCAGGGUCUGCCUGGAGUUUCUGACUCUUGAAUUUAAUUGGUUUUGAUUUGAAGCAAAACCAAUCAACAUGAUGAUUUUUAGCUAGUCAAUCAGAAUCUGUUUUUUUUUUUUUUUAAUGCCCAUCUGCCU